rnacentral:rRNA from 1 species
UACGGAGGGUGCGAGCGUUGUCCGGAAUCACUGGGCGUACAGGGCGCGUAGGCGGCGCGGGAAGUCAUCGGUGAAAGCUCAGGGCUCAACUCUGAGUCGGCCGGUGAUACUCUCGUGCUUGAGCACUGUAGAGGCAGGUGGAAUUCCGGGUGUAGCGGUGGAAUGCGUAGAGAUCCGGAAGAACACCGGUGGCGAAGGCGGCCUGCUGGGCAGUAGCUGACGCUGAGGAGCGAAAGCAUGGGGAGCGAACAGG